CAGUGCCACACAGCGACCCCCGAGGGCUGGCCGCGGCACUGCGCCUGGCUCCACACCGCCCCGGCAGAUCCUCGCGGGGAACAAUAGACUCGACUCGCCGGGCUUAGGGUUCGUCUGCAAUGUGCCGCACAUUUCACACGCACACAAAGCCGGCGGAAAGGGGGGCGGUGCGGGGAAACGGCCACUACCGGUUGUUCCAGGGUUAGG
rnacentral:lncRNA from 10 species